CGGAGGGUGCAAGCGUUAUCCGGAUUUAUUGGGUUUAAAGGGUCCGUAGGCGGAUCUGUAAGUCAGUGGUGAAAUCUCAUAGCUUAACUAUGAAACUGCCAUUGAUACUGCAGGUCUUGAGUAAAGUAGAAGUGGCUGGAAUAAGUAGUGUAGCGGUGAAAUGCAUAGAUAUUACUUAGAACACCAAUUGCGAAGGCAGGUCACUAUGUUUUAACUGACGCUGAUGGACGAAAGCGUGGGGAGCGAACAGGAUUAGAUACCCUGGUAGUCCACGCCGUAAACGAUGCUAACUCGUUUUUGGGGCCUUGGCUUCAGAAACUAAGCGAAAGUGAUAAGUUAGCCACCUGGGGAGUACGUUCGCAAGAAUG
rnacentral:rRNA from 1 species